CACAGUAAUGAAGGCAGCAACAUGUGGUAGAUGGGACAGAACAAGAAAGACUUAAUAAUCUUUCAUUGUGCUAAUGUAUUAUAAUACGAAAGGAUUUGAGGGAAAGAUUAAAAACAAGGAGGUCUGGGAACGACUGAAGGGAACUGACAGCAGUGAGGGAAGGAAGUAAUCAGCAGGAUCUCAGAGAAGGAUAUUGACAGUGCAGGCCCAGGAUGAAGAAGAGGAGGAAGAACACAUUUAACAAUUUUCUCAUAAACUUUCCAUGUGUUAUAAUAAAAACAAUGAACAUGACUACAAUAAUAUGCUAAAUGUUAUUAAAAGAUUCCAGUUUGCAAGAAAUCUGAGUGUCUGACUCUACACUAGAGGAACUCUUUUCUGAAGAACAUCAGGUGCUGAGAAGCAUUGUUAUUAGAGCAAAACACUGCAUCAAGCCUCCUGUCCUUCCCUCAGAAGAGCCUGUCUUCUGCUGCUGGGGUAAGAAACACACUCUUCCUCGUCUCUAUCGGCUGUCCAGCACCUAACUCUGCCUCCUCAGCACUGUCUGAAAGAGUCUUCUCCACAGUCAGUAAUCAGAGAUCACAGAUUCUUCUGAGAAAGUCAAUAUGCUCAUUUUCUUAAAAACUUUGUUUUUUCGAGGGGACAAAUAAUACAGGAGAGAUGCUAGAAAUCUCUAUAUUGUUCAUUUUUCAUAUCUUUACGCUUUAUGAAUGUUUUUCUUCUGAGAAGCUCAAAAAUUAUGGUUCUUUGGUAAUUGCUAUAUUGUUUAGGUUUAUCCUCUGAUAGUGAGCACAGAGCCCUGAUCAUGA